ACGGCCAUACCAUGCUGAAUAUACCGGUUCUCGUUAGAUCACCGAAGUCAAGCAUCAUUGGGCACGGUUAGUACUUGGGUGGGUGACCACCUGGGAACACCGGGUGCCGUU
rnacentral:rRNA from 1 species